rnacentral:rRNA from 1 species
UACGGGGGGAGCAAGCGUUGUUCGGAUUUACUGGGCGUAAAGGGCGCGUAGGCGGUCAGCACAAGUCAGUUGUGAAAUCUCCGGGCUUAACCCGGAGAGGUCAACUGAUACUGUGCGACUAGAGUGCGGAAGGGGCAACUGGAAUUCUCGGUGUAGCGGUGAAAUGCGUAGAUAUCGAGAGGAACACCUGCGGCGAAGGCGGGUUGCUGGGCCGACACUGACGCUGAUGCGCGAAAGCCAGGGGAGCGAACGGG